GUUGAACGCUGGCGGCAGGCUUAACACAUGCAAGUCGAGCGGAGAUGAGGUGCUUGCACCUUAUCUUAGCGGCGGACGGGUGAGUAAUGCUUAGGAAUCUGCCUAUUAGUGGGGGACAACAUUCCGAAAGGAAUGCUAAUACCGCAUACGCCCUACGGGGGAAAGCAGGGGAUCUUCGGACCUUGCGCUAAUAGAUGAGCCUAAGUCGGAUUAGCUAGUUGGUGGGGUAAAGGCCUACCAAGGCGACGAUCUGUAGCGGGUCUGAGAGGAUGAUCCGCCACACUGGGACUGAGACACGGCCCAGACUCCUACGGGAGGCAGCAGUGGGGAAUAUUGGACAAUGGGGGGAACCCUGAUCCAGCCAUGCCGCGUGUGUGAAGAAGGCCUUAUGGUUGUAAAGCACUUUAAGCGAGGAGGAGGCUCUUUUGGUUAAUACCCAAGAUGAGUGGACGUUACUCGCAGAAUAAGCACCGGCUAACUCUGUGCCAGCAGCCGCGGUAAGAC
rnacentral:rRNA from 1 species